AGCUUAGAGGCAAAUGGGACUUUUGAGUUAAUAUUAAUUGAGAUGAAGAUGGCCUCAUUGGAUAUGUUUUUGGAUCUCUCAUGAUGCUUGUUUCGCUUGAUUCUGUCGCCACAUUGUUGUGAAUCUGUACAAGUUAGAUAAAGGACACUGUUUUACAUAUAUGAAGAGGCACAAUAGUACGUGCCUUUACCUUGUGAAAGGAAUCUACUCCAGUUUAAUGAUGCCAGGCUUGCAGUUGAACCCCGUAACAAAUACAGAAUUCAGACAAAACCUCAUGGCCAUGGUGAUGUGCAUGCACUUCUCUUUUCCAGUGGCCUUCUGAAAAUAUGGCAUGAUGCUGGUUUGAGAUGGGUUCUGUUUUUCCAAGAUACAAAUGGGCUUCUGUUCAAGGCAAUUCCAGCAUCUUUGGGUGUAAGUUCUACCAGACAAUACCAUGUUAACUCUCUUGCUGUGCCACGCAGAGCA